GACGAACGUCUCGGCGGGCGGUGCUUAACACAUGCAAGUCGAACGGAGUGCCCGUUGAAAGAGGACGUUCGGCCAAUGGAUGGGAACACUUAGUGGCGGACUGGUGAGUAACGCGUGAGGAACCUGCCUUUCAGAGGGGGACAACAGUUGGAAACGACUGCUAAUACUGCAUGAUGCAUGAUCAGGGCAUCCUGGACAUGCCAAAGAUUUAUCGCUGAAAGAUGGCCUCGCGUCUGAUUAGCUAGUUGGUGAGGUAACGGCCCACCAAGGCGACGAUCAGUAGCCGGACUGAGAGGUUGACCGGCCACAUUGGAACUGAGACACGGUCCAA
rnacentral:rRNA from 1 species